rnacentral:lncRNA from 10 species
GCUGUGUCACCUUAGUCAAGUUAAUCUCACUAAGCCUCAGUUUCUUCACUUGUAAAAUGAGGAAAAGUACACUCACCUCAGAGGGCCGAAGUGCAAAUUAAAUUAAACCUAUUUAAAAGGCUGUUUUUGUUAAGACUCUUUUGGAUGCAAGGAACAGAAACCCAGUGAAGCUAGAUCACGAAUCAGAAAUCCAAGGGCAGGAAGUGAAGUACAGAUAAAGCUUAUUAAGCCUGGAGCUGCAGGAAAUUUCUGGAUGAGGCAUGGACCCUCUGCUCUGGAGCUUUACCAUUAAUGUAAUUCAUCUGCACUACAUGUCUGCUUCUCUCUGUACAUCUGCCCCAGCUUCCUCAUUCAGCCAACCACCUUGAACUGCUCCCCCAGGAUUUUAACAGGCACUUGACCUGAUUCAUAAUGCUGCACCCACCUACCCAGCAUCCUGGUCUACUGGACCUGUCAGCUCAGCUCCCCACAACUAACUGGCAACUCUCCUCUGGAUCUCUUAUUUCACAUUCCCAAGAGAGCAAUCUGAUUGGCCCACCUCAUCUUCUAAAGCUGGGCCAUACAACUCACAGGUUGUGGGCUGGCCUUGGAUCAGGAUACGGAAAUUAAAACCAGCCUGGAGACAGACAAGACCCGGAGUCCACCAGGUUUGAUUUCGGACUUGGCUUCUGAUGUCAACGGGUAUGAUCCCUUUCAGGAAAGCGGGUCGACAAGAGCCUAAAACAUGUUUAUGACAUUUUCCUGGUAAUUCUGCUCCUAAAUCGAUAUCCACCCACCCCUACUCCUACAGGAAAAGCUCUAAGCACAAAAUUAUUCCUUGCAGAGAUAUAUUUUGGUGGUCAAACACUAGAAAGUAGUUUUAAUAUCCAACAAGAGAAGGGUUAAGUGAAUUGUGGCACAGCUGUCUAAUGGAACAUUCUACAACCAUUGCUGAGAGAUGACGGCUGUGGAGAUUCUAUAGCAACAGAGAAAAAUUAUUAUGCCAUAACUAAGGAUGCAGGGUUGUGUGUACACUCUGACUGCAACAACCUAAAAACUGCAUGGCCUCAAGCUCUGCUGAUGGACAUUUAAAAUUUCUCCUCUAUUAUUACUUUUUAAAAAGGCCUUAACUUUAUGUCAUGUAUGGGUAUCUCUGGGUUUGGGGUUUUUGGCUUGUUGUUUUCGUUUUUUCAGUCUUUUCCUUCCGUCAAUCAACCGCCUUAAAAAUGUGUCUUCUUUGUACCAGGCCCUCCCCGAGGUGCUGGUGAUUCAAAGGUCAAUCACCCACAACUCUUUCUCUGGGAUGUCAGGGCAGAAGAGGAAACAGAUACAAAAAUAAACAGUUUCAAAAAUAUAUGGGCCAGUCUUUAUGGGCCCACUUGUGGACGUACGCAGGCACGGUCACCCCCUGGCGGCCACUCGACUACCAGCUCUUGGGUGGCUCUAACCUCUGGACAGCGGCUUCCACUCUCGGUGGCCAGCC